CGUGGGCGAAGAGGGCGUGGUCGCGGCGGCGUGGGCCGGCAGCGGCACCUUGCAGCCUGUGGGGAUGAGAGGCUGGGCGGACUCGGGCCUGGGCCCGUAUGGACCCCCUGGCGCUGGGCCGGUGGCGACGGCGGAGGCCAGAGGAGCUGCAGGUUCUGGGGGACGCGAAACGGGCACGCAGGAGAUUAGAAGCAGCGGCGCAGGAGUGGGGCUGCCCCCAGGUGAAGGUGCGCGUGCCCGCAUCCUGGGGCAGCAAGGAGCCCGAGUCACCAGAUGCCCAGCCCAGAGGCCACCUCCCUGCACCGAGGCCAGACGGUGGCCAGGGGCGACCAAGCGUGGGGGUUCCUCAGGACGGUGGAAAGAGCUGGGCCCAGCCUUGCCCAAGAUGCAUUGCGGGGGAGUCUGGCAGCACCCGCCUUCCAGGAAACAGGAUGCCAUCGUGGACCGGACUGCUCUGUCCCCCCACCGCCUGGCCCACCGCUCCCUUCCUGGCCUCAGCCAGCCCAGCGAGCCUUCUGCCACCACGGUGCAGCCUUGGAGAGCAGGGGUGCCCUGCCAGCCUCUGCCCAGGGGCCACGGAGCCACACUGCUCUUUGCCGGGAUAGUGGCAAGUGUGAUAAAGGUUUUUGGAUGCUGGACAAGACCUCUCAUUUCGUGGUGGCACAGUGUCUGGCCACGGGUCUGCCCCCAGCCGUCCGGUGGUCCCAGUUACUUCUGCGGGCGAAGGGACAUUUUAACCAUAUGGAGAAUUGGUAGAAGAUGCAAGCUGAAAAAGGAAGAUUCCAGUUGUGGUUUCGAACCCUCAUGUGCCAGCGAAUGUAAACCUCUCCUGGGUGGAUGUGUGUGCCCACCUGUUCAAAUAGUGCCUGGUACCCUCCCGUCAGGAAAUCCCACCGUCCUCCGCUCCAGAGCCAGAAGAGCCUCCAAAUGUUACUCCGCAUGAAGCCUCCUUUCAAAUGCAUCUUGCUUGAGAAGAAAAUCAAUUGCAUUAUUUAAAAGUUUAAAAAAUUCAGUAUCAAACUUCCUGUGAGGUUUGAGAGCCCUAUAGCCUACGGAGCCAUAUCCAGAUGUAGCCCCACUUUAUACUUUUCUAUUGUUUUGUGGAUGUAUCCAGAGCUGCUUAUGUACUCUUUUUUAAUUAAAAGUCUUAUUUUUAUAUUGAAAACGCGCUAUAAUCUUAAACUGAAUUUCAGUAAAUGUUAGUAUCCAG